rnacentral:rRNA from 1 species
UACGUAGGGUGCAAGCGUUGUCCGGAAUUAUUGGGCGUAAAGAGCUCGUAGGCGGUCUGUCGCGUCGGCUGUGAAAUCCCGAGGCUCAACCUCGGGUCUGCAGUCGAUACGAGCAAACUAGAGUGUUGCAGGGGAGACUGGAAUUCCUGGUGUAGCGGUGAAAUGCGCAGAUAUCAGGAGGAACACCGGUGGCGAAGGCGGGUCUCUGGGGCAACAACUGACGCUGAGGAGCGAAAGCGUGGGGAGCGAACAGG